UGUUUGCCCUUUAUAUUGGAAAAGGGAGCUGUGGUGCAUAAUAACAGUGACUUCAGAACAAAUCUUUGGGCCAUACGUCUCACUGCCAGGCUCAUUUACAAUCUUUGAACUCGGGCAACAGUUUUCCACAACUGAUGUUAAUAAUAGUACAUUUACAGUACAAUUUGAUGAAGAAUGCACCAAGGGACAGAUGAGUUAAGCUCGAAUACCAUAUGUGUACGUGUGAAUACUUCAGUAUGUUCGGGAAAACAAGGCUUUCAUAACUACUAUACCAGUCUGAAGAAGAAUCACAGAAGUUAGAAACAGAAAAGAGGGAAGAUCUAGCCCAUCUCUCAGCCCCUGCAGGACCAUUCUGCUAUGUUCAGACUUUCUGAUCAUAUAGCAUCCAGAUCGGAGUGCAAUAUUCCAGUGCAGUCACACCAGAGGCAGUGGUGUUGGAACAAAUUGUAUAGUGGGGGUGCUGAAAGACAUUGAACAAAACUGUAAUCCCUAUAUGAUGGAAACCACUUCAAGCCAGGAGGUGAUGUCGCACCCCCAGCACCGCUAGUUCCAGCACCCCGACCAGAGGGACAACUGCUUCUGCAAUAUGAUACCAUUUUGUAU